rnacentral:rRNA from 1 species
GAUGAACGCUGGCGGCGUGCCUAAUACAUGCAAGUCGAGCGAACAGACGAGGAGCUUGCUCCUCUGACGUUAGCGGCGGACGGGUGAGUAACACGUGGAUAACCUACCUAUAAGACUGGGAUAACUUCGGGAAACCGGAGCUAAUACCGGAUAAUAUAUUGAACCGCAUGGUUCAAUAGUGAAAGACGGUUUUGCUGUCACUUAUAGAUGGAUCCGCGCCGCAUUAGCUAGUUGGUAAGGUAACGGCUUACCAAGGCAACGAUGCGUAGCCGACCUGAGAGGGUGAUCGGCCACACUGGAACUGAGACACGGUCCAGACUCCUACGGGAGGCAGCAGUAGGGAAUCUUCCGCAAUGGGCGAAAGCCUGACGGAGCAACGCCGCGUGAGUGAUGAAGGUCUUCGGAUCGUAAAACGCUGUUAUUAGGGAAGAACAAAUGUGUAAGUAACUAUGCACGUCUUGACGGUACCUAAUCAGAAAGCCACGGCUAACUACGUG